AUCAUCCUCUACAGCCUCUCUCUCCACUGUCAUAUUUCACUGUUGUACUACUUUCUGCUUCCAUCAGGUGAGUCCAGCCUCUGGUUCAACUGCAUCACAACAAAACCACAUUGAUGAGGUAUUUGUCAACCAGUGUUUUCCUUUCAGGAGGAUCCAACCUGACUGGACUUUACUCCAGGGUUUCGUAGAUCUCUGUGUCUUCUGUCCAUGCCGCAAUGACGACCUUCAAGUCUGAGACGUUCUCAUACACAAGAGAAGAGUCCAGCUGAUGGGGAGAGAUGACAAUAGAAGACUCAUUGAACCUCAUUCAUGCAAUUUACAUACUCGACGACCUGCAAGUCUGAGACGUUCUCAUACACAGAAGAGUCCAGCUGAUGGGGAGAGAUGAUAAUAUAAGACUCAAUGAACCUCAUUCAUGCAAUUUGGAUAUUGUUAGAAUUAUUAAAAUAUUUUUAAUAAUAAUGCUUCAGACUCAAUUCUGUGCUGACCUUUAAGACCUAAAACUUUACCGACUCCUAUUCAUGUUGAUAAUAAAAUGUGUUCUAGUGCA